rnacentral:rRNA from 1 species
GACGAACGCUGGCGGCGUGCUUAACACAUGCAAGUCGAACGGAAAGGCCCUGCUUUUGUGGGGUGCUCGAGUGGCGAACGGGUGAGUAACACGUGAGUAACCUGCCCUUGACUUUGGGAUAACUUCGGGAAACCGGAGCUAAUACCGGAUAAUAUAUUGAACCGCAUGGUUCAAUAGUGAAAGACGGUUUUGCUGUCACUUAUAGAUGGAUCCGCGCCGCAUUAGCUAGUUGGUAAGGUAACGGCUUACCAAGGCAACGAUGCGUAGCCGACCUGAGAGGGUGAUCGGCCACACUGGAACUGAGACACGGUCCAGACUCCUACGGGAGGCAGCAGUAGGGAAUCUUCCGCAAUGGGCGAAAGCUUGACGGAGCAACGCCGCGUGAGUGAUGAAGGUCUUCGGAUCGUAAAACUCUGUUAUUAGGGAAGAACAAAUGUGUAAGUAACUAUGCACGUCUUGACGGUACCUAAUCAGAAAGCCACGGCUAACUACGUG